GAAAAAAAAGGCUCAGUAAUUUAAAUUUGCUCUCAGUUCAGGCUGCAAUGCUGGGUCCCGCCCCUUCUUCCGGCUGGGUUCCACUACCUGUAAGGCUGGAACUGACAGCCACUGUGCAAACAAAAAAAGGCAACAAGCAUGCUGGGACCAUUCUGUCUGCUGUUUGGGUCUCACUUGCCCUGACAACUAAAAAUCAUCAGUGGAAAGAUUUCUGAAAAUACGAUCAGAUCCAGGAAUGGAUGAGAGAUUGCCUUGAAGAUUAAGUGAUUUAAUCACAGUACCCAUGAAACGUGAUCCAUUUGAUGGAACCAUCUGUUUUUUUUCCUCUGCCAAAGACACUCUGCACAUUUUGGCAGCUUCCCUAAGUGUACUCAAUAACUCAUGCCAAAUACAGUUGGAAUGCACCAUGAAUCCCAACUCUGAAAACAACUGAACCAAGCAGUGUUCAUCGUAAACUGACUGAUGUGUGGUGAGUCAAGCAACACUGGCUUAUAUACCUUAAGGUGAGUUGGGGAAGGGAGACUAAGUUAACGUGAUAACUUCUACCCUGUAAACUGGGGACAGUGAUUUGGAUUCAUAGGAUAGUGACAAUGUGGGGAUUUUUCUUCCCUGAAAUCUACUCCCCAGUUUUGGGAUUACAAUCUCUAUUCAGAUAAAUACCACUGUGACAAUCCCUUUUAUACACAUGACCCUGUGUAUGUCUAUACCCAGUUGAUUGGUUCAGAAGCAACAUCUAAGUAUGAAGGAAGCUACAUUUAGGACUCAGAUUUCCAACAUGGUAUUUCUUAAGUCACUGUAGCUAUACGAGCAACAGCUUGGGUGUUAUAGGUCAUGAGUCUUCCCACAUAGACCAGAAAAAGAAAGACUGCAUGUCUUCAAUGAGAGAAGAGGCAGGGCGAGAGGGAGGAUAUGAGGAAGAAAAAAAAAGAGUAGAAAUGCUCAGAUGAAGACAGAGUUCUGUUAUUAUUUGUGCACUUGUGUCUGUUUUUCCCAGAGCCCAGUCAUAUUUUGUUUCUUAGAUUCUAAGAGGUAGAGCAUUUAAAAAAUAAAUUCUUUUUGCUUAAGCAAGUUAUGCUAUUUGCAAGCUAAAUUUUGACUUAUACAUACAAGGGAAGAAAGUAAGAUUUAAUAUCUUUCCGAUCAAUACAAGACUUGGCUUGUAUUGGUUAAUUUCAUUACUUGAUUAAAGAAUCUAGACUAAAGUUUGAACCAUUUGGAGGUUUGAUCUCAUUUUAGAAUCAUUUACUCCACAGAUGGUAGCUUUUACAGUUUAUCUGUCACAGUGUCCGUGCUUUCUGUAUGUCCAGAUUCUGAAGGGUUAAUCAUAUAAAGUAUUUAUACCCUUAAACUAGACUUAACAUUUCAUUAGAUAAGAUAUUAGGAUGCUAUAGUUUUUUUCUGCUUUGAUACUAAACUUUAAGAGAUGCUUUAUAAGACUAUCAUAGUUCUCAUUUGUAUAACAGAAAAGCCAAACACAAAAUAUAGAAGCACAAAGCAUGUAUUGAGAAGUAAGCUUAAAAUAAAGCUUGGUGAUUUUGAAUGUCUGUAUUCAAUUUGUUCAGACUGUGGUGAAGAAUAACAAUCAAAGAGGCAGGUAUCAUUCCUAAUUUUUAUCAAAAAUUCACAUCCUAUCAGCGAUAACAUUUUUUAAAACUUUAUAAAUAUCUCUUUAAAAAGUUAAAUGAAAUAUUCAGUGUCUUUGUGUGUCUAGAGAAAGUAAACUUCAAACUAGAUGCAAAUGUCUUACCUUUUUUUUUUAAAUUAACUCUUGAGAGUGAUUUUUAAAACAUUGGUUUUAUGUAUGCUUUAGGAAACCUGUUAUUAUAUUUUUCUUCUGGUGUUUGAUUGAAUUUGCUUUGCUUUACGUUGUGGAGUCAUUUUAGGGAGACCUUUUCCAAACCCAGGAUCCCAUUCACUGAGUAGGAAAUGAAGAGUCCUCAUCUUUUUAGAUGGAGUUCUUUGUUAGAAUCCUGGCUUCGGAAGUUGCUGUUUUUCAUAGGGCAUAUCCUUUAACCUCUCUGAGUCCUGCUUUGCUCAUCUCUAGUAUGAUAAUAAAGUCUGACUUAAGAGGUGAUUGCAGAAUUAAAGACAUAGUAGACAUAUAGCAGUAAAGAAAUAAAUAGUUGCCAUUGUUGUUCACGCCAGUGUCCUCAGCCAAAAUAGAAAUUCUAUUUGGCUCCCAUAAAAGUUUUCAUGAAUGAAUUGGCUUAUUCUAUUCUUGACAACUCAGACCAUUACUCCCUCUGCAAAUGGAAGAGGGCAGAAAGACGAGGACUCUGCUUACUGCUGUGAUGCUGAAGAAGGUUCAACCAAAGAAGUUUCACAUCUUUUGUUCUCUCCGCUAAAAACCAGAGGUUGGAGCAUUUGAAAAAUAUCAAAAAAACAGCAGAGACAAGUUUAGGUGGUUUCCAGGGGAGAGGCACUGAAAGUGAUUGAUUCCUAUCAAAAGCACAAGGACAGGGUAAGUGAUUCUUUCUAGUAAAUGACAGUAGAGAUACAGCUGAACUGUGAGAAUGUAAUAAUGGUUAUGGCAAGGAAGGCUGAUGAGUUCUAGGAAAAGCACAUUGCUUGUGACCAGAGCAGUGGUUCUUGACUUUUACAGGUCUGAUAUCAGGCCAUCACCAUAUCAAAGAAUCUAGAUACCACCACGGUGGAAGCCAAAUUUUUACUUUUUAUCUUUAUGAUUAGCCACAAAAUACCUAUUUAUGUGUUUUUUGUCAACGCUCAAUAACGGCAACAUAAGCUCUGUCAUACCUAGUUUAUGUAAGUGUACUAUCAGCAGGUCAUGCUCCGCAAUUACAGCAUCACUGUCAAGGGACACACUGGGUCCUAAGUACUGAUGUCCUAAAUUCCACUUUGCUAAGGCCAACUGAUCGAACAGCAAGCAAAUACGAGAAAGGAGAUUGAAACUGAAUCACAAGAAAUGUGCGUUCUAUGUGCGAAAGUGGGAUCCAUUACAAUCCGAUGCACUGCACCAAAAGCAUAGUGUGAAAGAUUAAAUAAUCUAGGAUUUCCUAACUAGAGAUCAUUGUCUUCUCAUCAGCAGUUCAAGUACAAAGAGACAGAGAGAGACAAAGCAGGGACAUUGGUAGCAAUAAAAUAGCAGUGACUAACAUCAACUAUUACAGCAGGAAGCCCUAGGCAUUGGGAAGCUGGCACAGAGGUUCUGGGUAUAUCCUACAGUCAGUACCUUCCUGGAAACCCUCUGGGAAGAAAACAGCUGAUGGGAUCAGGGAAGGUGGGACCCUACCAGACUGGAUCAAGGACAAAAACCAUCUCCUUCACUCAGAGUGACAGAUUUUAUCAACCGUCAGAAUGCAUAACAGGUAGUUCAAAGAGAUUCAUUUCCAUGAAUUUCCUUUGAGUCCAAAUGCACUUUUUAGUAAGAUAAUGCAUGCCUCCACUGCAUUAUUUUUUUCUUGUCUAUGUUUGCCAAGUAAUGCCAUAAAGAUCUCCAUUUAUGAGUUUAAACAUAAAGAACUGAACUCAGAUGAAUUCUGCUGGUCACAUGGUGAUGAUCUAAGAACUUGGCAGGAAUUGCUGUGAUCGGAUCCUCAGGCUGCUAGUCAUAGACACCUGUUAUCACUGGAAAAAGGACUUUUCAGUCACAGCCCUUAAUGUUUCCUGUCUUAUGCUGGCAGAGACACCUGCACACAGAAGCUUUGUUAGUCCAAUUUUGGGUUUUUUUUGCACAAAUUUGUUAUUUUGUGGAAGAUUCCCGGUAAACACACACAUGUGAGUGCACACACAAGAACUUGUCUACAUCACUACUCAUGGGAAACAUUUAUUUUCUCUUCAUUUCUGCUCCUCUUCAGAGAAAAACAUUCAUGCAGGAUAAGGUACCAUUGCUUGUCAAUCUCUUUCUAAAUUUGGAAUCAGUCCAGAAAACCCAGGAGGAAGCUCAACUCAGCCACAGUUAAUCUUCAGAAAAUCCAUCCCACGUGACUCCCCCCCACCCCCCCCCCCCCCCCAUCAGUGCUGAUCUUUUCAUGUAUUCUUUAUAAGGAAUCCAUUGAACUUUAAUUAAUAUGAAAAAUUCAGGUUUUCAUCUGAUUUAAAUGUGACUGACAUCACGCUGCUGCUAAAAGUGGAACAAAGUACACGCAUGGUGAAAAUAAAACUUAAAACCUGGUGCCUAUUUUUUCACCGCCAAAUCAUCUCUAGCACUUUCAAGAGGCAGGAGAGAAAUGUACCCAGAGCAUUUUCUAGGAGUCUUCAUGUCCAUAUGUACGAACAGGGACAUGCUUGAAAAAAGUCUGUACACAGGCAGGAACGCGAUUCGCUCUGUCACAUCAAUCAGCAAUCUUUAGCUCUAAACGUUCCAGUUAAAAAGGACUGGAGUGACACAGUUAAAGGUAUAGAUUCCAAAAGGGUUAACGUGGUAGUAAGGAGUAAGAAUUCUUUUGAAAGGAAAACACACACUCAUCUGCCAUUUGUACACACGCACCAUCUCUAGCAUUCAGUGGAUUGUUCAAAACAGGCACAAAUGUGCUCCUGGAAGGCGUUAGGGUUCUGCUUGCUACAGAUCAGGCUGCUCUCAUGUUGAUGGAUUCUACUUAUCCAUAGGUGAAGUAGAGGAUGUGUGUCCUGAUGUUGAGACAGCUUUGUUACAAGAACUAUCAUUCUAUCUUCUCCAUAGAACCUAGUCUACUAUCAUAGCAACACAUGAAAGCCUAAGAAGUGACUACGAGAGCACAAUUAACACAUUUUUGAAACAUACAAUACGUUGUUAACUGUAGCUGAGUUGAUAAACAUCCUAAAUCAGCUGACUUCAUCAAUACCCAUUCUAUGCAAGAAAACGUGUUCUCUGUAAAUAUGUGCAAGUGUUAUAUAUCAAUAUAAAUAACACAUUUCUCACUGCAAUAAAAUAUAUCAAUCAUUGAGCUUUAUCUUUUUCUGAGAUAGGGUCUUGCUCUGUCACCCAGGCGGGAGCUGUGUUCGACUAUAGCUCACUGCAGCCUCAAACUCCUG